rnacentral:misc_RNA from 1 species
GGAAUGAGAUUGGACGCUAUGUUUAAACCCAGGUUUUCGAGCAAUGAAUUGGAAAAACUUGAGUGCGAUUUGGGGAUCGAGAUUUGGGUUAUUACUGAAGAGAGAGGAUACAUGGGAUGCAGAGAUGCUCGGAAUUAAGUUGCGAAGGGAAGGAUGUUUUUGCCAACUUGGAUGCGCGAGAAUAGAAAGAAGCUGGGAGGAGAGAUCAGGUGGGUCAGGGUCUACCGGAAGAGGGGCGAUUGAGGAGGAGCAGAUGGGUCUUUUGAGGUGGUGACGGUGAAGGUGAAGUUGAAGUUGAAGGAGGAGGAUCAAGGACUUACCUGGGUAAAUAAUGACCUUUGAUUUUCUCAUCUUGGAGUAUCAGAGAUUGGUGAAUGCUCCAUUCAUGGAGCCACGUUCUCAGGUGUUUUGGUGCAUUUGGAUCAGAGGGAGCUAAGAAAACAGUGGAAGGAGAUGAAGAUUUUGGUCUGUGCAAAGAAACCUGG